rnacentral:rRNA from 1 species
UACGUAGGUGACAAGCGUUGUCCGGAUUUACUGGGCGUAAAGAGCGCGCAGGCGGCGCGGUAAGUCGGGUGUGAAAUUUCGAGGCUUAACUUCGAAACUGCAUUCGAUACUGCCGUGCUAGAGGACUGGAGAGGAGACUGGAAUUUACGGUGUAGCGGUGAAAUGCGUAGAUAUCGUAAGGAAGACCAGUGGCGAAGGCGGGUCUCUGGACAGUUCCUGACGCUGAGGCACGAAGGCCAGGGGAGCAAACGGG